GCUACGGAUGUUAGUGUAGUUGUGUAGCCUACACCUUGAGCCCUGCACCCCUGUGUGGUGAGGGGAGAUCCUGGGACAGAUGCAGCCUGAUUCCUGCCUGAGGAGGCUCCGUGGCCGCAGAGCAGCCCCUCUGCAAUGCCCCGGGUUCAGCUGCCAGCACUAUGCAGAAGAUACUCAGCUCUGCAACUCAUUCUCCGUGAACGAAACCAGGCCACGACUAGGAUGUCAGAGUGCCUACAGGAAAUCACUGCCCAGAUGAGGAGCAGCUGGCUCAAGUUAAAUCCAGCAAGACUGAAGUGACAGUGGAAAAUAGAAGAGAGAGAUUUCAUACUAAUUGAUUUUAAUGGACUGUGAGCUACUGAAAUAUUUAGAGUCAGUUGUAUUAAAAGCAAAAUAUGCUUGCUAAUGGAAUAAAGAGAGAGCUGGUAAA